rnacentral:lncRNA from 1 species
GAAGGAGGUCUGAAGGAGGGAAAAACAAUGAAGAAAUUCUUAAUAUACUCUUUAUACGAAAAUGAUGACUUCAAGGACUCAGGAACCAACAUUGCUAAAGGCUAGGAGACAUUCUUUCGUAUGUGUAAAGGAGUGACUGGUUUCCUUCGCGUUCUGGACCAGCAGCAGUCUCCUGAACUAUUUUCUCCAAGGUCCUUGUAAAGAGAAGCAGGAGUCUUUGUUCCCCCUUUCUCAGCAGAGGGAGGCACAGUGCUCUCACUCUGUAAUAAUGCUGAUUGAUUGCCACACUAUUAUGGAUCCCAGCUCACCAGGAACCCAUGAGAAACUUCUCUUCGUACAACUACACCGACUUCUCAAAAAAGGUCUCAACCCAGUGGGAUUUUUAAGCCUACACAAUUUUGGACCUACGUGCAUGUUCAAGUAACAGCAAAACCCGUGGAACUUGUGUUCACAAACUGUUUAUUCUAGUGGGUUUUGUACUUGGUGACCACCAUCCAGAAACAAAGAGAGAAGAGCACUCUGAAAAUUGGAGAUUUAAGGGUUUGAAAAGUGUACCAGUAGGUGUUAAUCUGCAAAAAUACGUGUGGGAGAAAAGGACAGUGAAAUUAAGCCACCUAUUAAUACUGUACUUUAAAGGGCAAUAGGUAUCUUUAUCGUUAAAAUAAACUGAGAAAUCCUGCCUA